UAAGAUUCCGGACCUCGCCAA
rnacentral:siRNA from 1 species